GCUGGUUCCGACUUUUGUCACGGUGGAAACCAUAUAUUUGAACGAAGAUGGUGGCGCCCUUCUGUCAAUGUCGUCGGUGGGACAUUUCAGUGUAGUUCAU